rnacentral:rRNA from 1 species
GACGAACGCUGGCGGCGUGCCUAAUACAUGCAAGUAGAACGCACAGUUAUACCGUAGCUUGCUACACCAUAGGCUGUGAGUUGCGAACGGGUGAGUAACGCGUAGGUAACCUGCCUGGUAGCGGGGGAUAACUAUUGGAAACGAUAGCUAAUACCGCAUAAUAUUAAUUAUUGCAUGAUAAUUAAUUGAAAGGUGCAAUUGCACCACUACCAGAUGGACCUGCGUUGUAUUAGCUAGUAGGUGAGGUAACGGCUCACCUAGGCGACGAUACAUAGCCGACCUGAGAGGGUGAGCGGCCACCCUGGGACGGAGACCCGGCCCAGACUCCCACGGGAGGGAGCAGUAGGGAAACGUCGGCAAUGGACGAAAGUCUGACCGAGCAACGCCGCGUGAGUGAAGAAGGUCUUCGGAUCGUAAAGCUCUGUUGUAAGAGAAGAACGGGUGUGAGAGUGGAAAGUUCACACUGUGACGGUAUCUUACCAGAAAGGGACGGCUAACUACGUG